rnacentral:lncRNA from 1 species
UCCGUUUGCGCGGGCGCUGCGCUCAUCCAGCCCCGCGAAAGGAGGUGGCUCGGGAGCGCAGACGAGCGGCAGUGUUGGUGGAAACGCCGCGCCUGCCCAGCUUGGCAGAACACAGAUGUUACGGUUUCGGGCAAGGCGGCAGUAAACCGUGGCAGACGUUCCCUGUUAUCCAAGACGAUAAGAAAGGCCAGUUCAGUUGGAAGUGACCUACAGUGAUCAUCGAGUCCACCUGCCCGACCACUUCAGGGCUGACCAAAAGUUAAAGCAUCAAGGUGUUUACAAAAAUGGGGUUCCUGCUCCAAGGCAGCACGAGGGACGACUGUGGAGAAUAGAAAGAGCAGUAAAAGCACUUAGAGAAAACAGACUGACACAGAGAACAAGGUAAUAGGAAAGAGGAGGCUGGAGAACACAGGUAAACCAAAGGGAAACAAACAAACAAAACUCACCUUGUUUAUCUGUGCUUAAUGAAAACUAAUAAUUUUUGCCAUUAA